rnacentral:rRNA from 1 species
CCUACGGGGGGCAGCAGUGAGGAAUAUUGGUCAAUGGACGAGAGUCUGAACCAGCCAAGUAGCGUGAAGGAUGACUGCCCUAUGGGUUGUAAACUUCUUUUAUAUGGGAAUAAAACGUUCCACGUGUGGGAUUUUGUAUGUACCAUAUGAAUAAGGAUCGGCUAACUCCGUGCCAGCAGCCGCGGUAAUACGGAGGAUCCGAGCGUUAUCCGGAUUUAUUGGGUUUAAAGGGAGCGUAGGUGGAUUGUUAAGUCAGUUGUGAAAGUUUGCGGCUCAACCGUAAAAUUGCAUUUGAAACUGGCAGUCUUGAGUACAGUAGAGGUAGGCGGAAUUCGUGGUGUAGCGGUGAAAUGCGUAGAUAUCACGAAGAACUCCGAUUGCGAAGGCAGUUCACUGGACUGAAACUGACACUGAGGCUCGAAAGUGUGGGUAUCAAACAGGAUUAGAUACCCGAGUAGUC